CACCCGCUAGCCACAACCCCUCCCCUAACCUCCCCCGAUCCCAUCUGGCCCCUCGCCCCGAUGUGCAUCGCCGCCGCAGCCUCCCUCCCUGCCCCGAUGUGCAUCGCCGCCGCAGCCUCCCUCCCUGCCCCGUGCCGCCACCGGGCCCCGGCCACCUCCCGCGCCGCUGCCGGGCCCCGGCCACCUCGCCCGCCGCCGGCUGGCCCCGGCCACCUACAACGCCGCCAUCUGGCCCCUCCCCUGCCGUAAUCCAGCCCGAGCGAGCCCAUCACCGAUUGCUUCUUGCCCCGCGGCGGAGCGCCGCCGCACACCCACCCACAACUACAACUCCCCCGCCCCGCCCACAUCGACCACACACGGUGCUCGGUCAUGGGGACAACUGAGCGGAGCUCGAGCUCUGGCUCCUCUCUCCUCUUGCGCGCCACCGGCCAUUGCACCUCGCCGCGGUACACUCGGCCAAGGGGGCAACCAAGCGGCGCCUGAGCUCCGGCUCCUUUCUCCUGUUGCACGGGCACCAGCCCUUGCCGCACGCCUUGGUGCACAUCCGCGCCCAUUGGCCCCUCUCUGCUGGCCCGCCAGCCACUACGGCGGCGCUCCGGCGACCUCUCCACUCCUGUCUGCGUGUUGCGGCAUGGACGAACACCUCCUCCCUUCUAAUGGCAAAAAUGGGGAAAGGAGCAGCUUCAGUUUAAAAAAUGCGGCAGCUUCAGUUCAGUUUGUAAGAAAGGAGCAAAAAAGAAAGGUUGCUGGGCUCGUUUGUGCACUAUGUGCAUAAAAAUGGGGAAAGUUAAACUUCAUUAUUAUUGCUUGCUCCUCCAGUGGCCGGAUCUCGCCACCAUGACCACUCAACUCGUGUUGUCGGCGACCUGCCAAAGCCUAAGCGACGACCUGUCCGAGGCCUAAGCAUGAACUUCAUGCUUGAAUCUUCUCCAAAUUGAUAUUGCCUGCAACGGGGAGGGGCAAGCCUGUAGUCCAGCACUAUGAAGGGAGGAACUGCUUCUACUUCUCUUCUGAAAUCUCAAUGCCAUGUCUUGAUUUUCAGAGGUAGUUUUUGGUUUGUACCAACCAUUUAAGAUGGUAUCUCAUCUGAAUGUGGUAUGCAUGCAGGCCAGCGUUCUCAAGUGGCAGAGCGGAGCCGUUUGCCUAGCGGGUCGAGCAGGAGUUCAAUGUAUAUUACACAAGAAGAAAAAACAAACACUAGGUUGCAGAUGUUGUGUUUUGUGAUUGUCGUAGGCUGACAGCCAAGACGACGUCCUCCACAUUUCCUACCAGCUCCGCCCAAUCCCAGCACCGGCGCGACCCCAGUACGGCGCCUGAUUCCGCCAUCCCGCAUCCGCCUGCAUACGCCAGUGUGCCACCACUAACGACCUGCCCGACCCCCCUGGCCUCCUACAAACUGCUGCUGCUCCCUGUACUUUUUUGGAUGAAGUUAGCACCACUCGACCGAGAAACACGAUGACAGUGACACGCUGGGCGAAAUCGGAGAGAAGGCAAGGACGAGGCGGAGGAGUUCCUGAAGAUGGCCAAGGAGAAGACUGACGACGUUGCCGAGGGCGCAAAGGAGACAGUGCAGGAGACCAAGGAGGUGGUGCUCGGCGAGUCCGACGAUGACAUGGACAAGUUCAAGCAGCGGGUCGAGCAGGGGAGCUACGAUCAGAAAUAAGUGAGAGGGAGGUGUUCCCUUGGUGUAUGUUCGCGCGCAGUCAUGGCCUGCCCAAAGCCAUUAGCUCUGCAAUUUGUAUGUCAACCACUAGGCUUGGUAUCUGUAUGUGUAAUGUGAUCUUGGUACUAUACAACUUGCCACUUCCCGCAGAAUAAGUAAUAUUGAGCUUCUGAAUGUUUUUUC